rnacentral:lncRNA from 1 species
AUUCUCAAACUCUCUAUAUGUUCCCUCCUCUGCCUUCUUCCUCAGUCUCUCUCUCUCUCCUUCCUAUCUUCCUCCAAAUCACUCUCUCUCCAGUCUUCUUAUGUCCUUCUCACGGAUUCCUUCUUCCAAACCAUCAUUUUCCCUCGUCCCUUUCAAAUCGGAACCCCCUCCAAAUUAUAAGAUUCUAACUGGAUUUUCCGAUCUCUCACAGGUAAUUUUCAAAUCAAAACAAAUAUGAUUUGUAUUGUGGUUUUUCUGAAUUAAAAUGGGUUUUUCUUUUAAUUAUUUUGUUGGGUUUUUGCAUAUUGUUCAUAUUUUGGGGUUUUCCAUAUUGUCUAUUCAUUUUCUCCAUUAAUUUCUAGUAACCCAACAAAUCAUUGGUGUUAGGAUAAAUAAAUUAUGCAAUUUAUUUUGACAUGAAAGCAAAAAAUUAAUAAACCAGUGUAGUAAUCCUACAAAUUUUAUGGAAAGGUGAUAUAUUUAUGUUUACUUUCAUGUGUUUAAACAUCCAUUUCAAAAGACAGUUGAUGGAUCUCGUUUUAAUUUACAAGCACAUCGCUUCCAUUGUUGUGGGAAACCAUGGAAUUCAAGUGGUUGUUGCUGGGCAUCAUUGCGGAAAUGCAAGUGGGAACUAUGGGAUAGCACCUCGUUCACAUAAAUAAUUAUAGGUCCUCGUUGCAAAUUUUUCUACAACUAGAAUGUAAGAUCCCACAUCGCCCAUGGAUGAGGAUCCUAUAAGCCUUAUAUGUAUAUUCCCAUCUUUACCUAGCACGAGGCCUUUUGGGAGCUCAUUGGCUUCGGGUUCCAUCGGAACUCCGAAGUUAAGCGAAUUCAUGUGAGAGCAAUCCCAUGAUGGGUGACCCACUAGGAAGUUCUUGUAUAAGUUCCUAGAAACAAAACCAUGAGGACGUGGUCGGGGCCCAAAGUGAACAAUAUCGUGCUACAGUUGAGUCGAGUUCGGGAUGUGGUGGGGGCCCGGGCCGGGAUGUGACAAUUUGGUAUCAAAGCCACUCCUUGGCCUGAAGUGUGCCGAGAGGACUUCAGGCCCCUAAUGGGGGUAGAUUGUAAGAUCCCAUAUCGUCCAGGGGUGAGGAUCCUGUACGCCUUAUAUGUAUUUUCCCAUCUCUACCUAGCACGAGGCCUUUUAGGAGCUUAUUGGCAUUGGUUUCCAUCGGAACUUCGAAGUUAAACAAGUUCGUGCGAGAGCAAUCCCAUGAUGGGUGACCCAUUGGGAAGUUCUCAUGUGAGUUCCCAGAAACAACACUGUGAGGGCGUGGUCGAGGCCCAAAGCGGACAAUAUCAUUCUACGGUGGAGUCGAGACAGGGAUUAGUGGGGGCCCAGGUCGAGAUGUGACAUAAAAGAUUCACUAACCCUUAUCAUUUGUGACGUUUUGAACUGAAUCAACAACAAUGUUUUAUUAGGAAUUUUUUUUCUAUUGAAAGGAAAGAAAAAAUAAAUAAAAAACAAAACCGAACCGAAAAAAACUGAAAAAAAAUAGAACCAAACUCAACCGAAUCGAAAUUUCGAUUCGGUUUCGGUUUUGGCAGAAAACCAUUUCGAACUGAACCCAGCCCUAAUGGCAGAUUGUAAACUUAUUCACACACCAUCUUCUCCUGGCCGUCACCUUUUCUUGCACGACAGGGAACCUCUUUCUGAUGCCACAAAGUUUCUCAAUGUUGUAAGUGCUCUUCAAUAUCUCUUCACCUGUCCUGACAUUGCUUUCUCCGUCAACCAGGUCUGCCAGUUUAUGCAUUCUCCCAUAACAGUACACUGGGCUGCUGUCAAAUGCAUUUUGCGUUACCUUAAGGGCACUCAUGAUCAUGGCUUGCUCUAUCGUCCGAGUUCUCUCUCUAUUACUGCUUAUGCCGACACCGAUUAUGUCGGUGAUCCUAAUGAUCGUCGAUCCAUAAGAGGCUACUAUAUUUUUCUCAGUUCUAAUUUGAUUUCCUAGAGCUCAAAGAAGUAACACGGCGUUUCUCGCUUAAGCAUUGAAGCCAAGUAUCGUUAACUAGCAUAUACUGCCGCUACUUUGUUAUGGUUUCAAAACUUAUUUCAUGAUCUUCAUCUUUAUCUUACACCACCUCAAUUAUGGUGUGAUAAUAUAGGUGCUCUUGUCAUGGCUUCCAAUCCUGUCUAUCAAGCACGAAUGUGACAUGUCGAAGUUGAUUAUCAUUAUGUUCGUGAAAAGGUUACUCGAAAGGAAAUUGUUGUGGGCUAUGUUGCUUUUCCAGAUCAGGUGGCUGACUUUCUCGCAAAGGGUUUGUCUUCCACUCGGUUUCGUUUCCUUCUUUCCAAGCUUCCCGUUCUCAGUCGUCCGUUCAGCUUGCGAGGGCAUGAUAAACUAUAAGUCUCUAAUCCAUAUCCUCAACAUUGUUUGCUGUGACUCCUUCACUCAAGUUACCUCUACUGAGAGUUAUUUGAUAUACUCUCUUGUAUUAUCUCAUAUUUUGGGAUUUAUAGAAUUGUUAUUUGUAUCAAACACUAUUUGUAACUUAUUGAUGUAAAUCAUCUCUAUAAAUACAAAUUUACUAUCUCUCUCAGAUUUAACUGAGUUGAGCAUCAAUAACUCUUUUAGCCCUUUACAAUCUUAUGCUUGAUUAUUUCUCUUUCACUCUCUCCUUCAAUUUAAAAAACAAAAAUAAAAAAAUUUCACACCCACACACAAGUGUGUGAGCAUAUACUAGUUGUAAUUAAGAUUUGGGGGGACUACUCUAACAAAGGUCUUUGUCAAUCCCGUAUAUAAUACACACAACGACGGGAACAACAAAAAUUGAUACCAUAACAUGUCAUAUUAGCAUUUGGACAAUAAUAUAGCAACGAUCUAUCAAUGCCACAACUAAUCAAUUCUUUAACAGUAAACACUAACCUACCUCUUCGUCUGUUUUUCCUCUGUUAAAACUGGUUGCAUGUCCUUCUCUAAGGGAAGGGAUCCUCUCCAAAUCCUGAAGUUUGGCUGCAAGCCUUGCCUCCAACACAACAGCAAAGCCAUUGCAGCUUCAUCUUCUUCCUCGAACAGGUCCGCAAAGCCACGAUCUCAACUUGCCUCCACCUCCGCACCCUCUCAACCCCUCCCGCCGUCAACACCAUCGUCGGGGAUUCGAUGCAAAUGAUGCGGUGGCCAUUGCGGCCAUCACAGCUUCUUCCUAUUCCGAUGGCGCCAAAACAUUUUCUUGACCGUUCAAUUUUCUUUUGAACAGUUAAGAUUGAAGAAUCCUCGGGAUCCGGAGAAGAUCCUAUUCCCUUCUCUACUCUUGUCCUCCAUUUUUUCUGGUGCGAAGAAAAGAAUGUUGUGUCCAAAUACAAUUAUAAAAGAAAUAAUAAUUCUCUUUGAUAAGAAAAAAAAUUCAUUUCUCUUUAGAAACAAAUUAUAAUUUAGAAAAAAAAAGAAGCAAUUUCAAGGAAAGCAAAUUCUUAUAGAAAAGUUUAGUGUAAUAUUUCAUAAGGAUCUUUGUUUGCAUGUAAAUUUCAGGUGCUUCUAACAAUUACUUGUGUGAAAUUGUUUCUGUAAGAGCUAAAAUUACUUUUUGACAACUAAAAAGAAUUCUGAUGCACAAUUCUCUAUCCUCAUUCAUGAUAGUGAUGGAGAACGAUGACAAUGAAAAUUUAGCAGUAAUAAAAGAAAAGACCGAAAAUGAAAAUUAGAAGUCAUAAAAGAAAAUUAGUACAACGCUUAUGAGCAAGAAUAUUUUCUUACAGAACGAGUCAAACAACAACAUUGGUUUUUACAACACUCCUAAACCACGCCCUAGAUCUUCAACGAGCAAAUUAAAUUUCACUACAAAUGACUAAUGUGCCUGCAUAUAUAAGUGGAGCCCAAAUAAAUGGGUUUAGGCCUACCGGGCAUUGUUUCCUUCUUUUUGUGAAUACAAAGAAUAAUACUUGGGUAUUGAUAAUAUACUGAAUUUGUGAUGUAAUCAGAAGAUGUUAUGUGUGUUUUUUUACGGUCGAAAUAUUAUGUGUGUUUAGAAGUUCAAGAAAAACUAAAUAUAUAAAUUACUAUUGUAAACAAUAAAUUUAAAAUAUUAUUCGACCAAAUUACUAAAUCAGUAGUAUCGCCAAUUUCGCAAUCUUCAACCAACUCUAUUUUGGUCAAAAGAGCUUAUUCUUCCCCGAUUCCUGUUUUAGAGCCGAAUCAAAAUAUAAUUGCUCGCUCGAAGCGGCAUUCAGGAUAUUUUUAUCCAGGAACCUAAGCACGAAUGUGCGCUGAGAAGUAUCACACUAAAAAAUAAACUUUUUUUUUAACAAACGAUAUUAUCCACCCUAAAGGGGGAGCUGGUGGGCUUAGCCUCACAAUAGGCUAGCAAUAAUGUGGUUCAAAUUUAUCUUUGACAAGAAUCGAACCUAAGAUCUCUCACUCACAAGCACUGUUCUAAAAAGUUGUUCAUAGGUUCAUUCUUUAUCAUAUUUUCAUGUAAAGAAUUGAUUAUAAAAGAGCCUUAUUACUUCAUUUCCUUAAUUUCAGCCAAUCUGCACACUUAGAACGUUUUUGGUGAUAAUUCGACUUUCCAGAGGAGUUUAUGUGCAAGGCCAAUUGGAGAAGGAAGCUAAGAGGCUGAAUCUCGUUGUUUCCAAAUUUCAUAAUUUUCCAUGGAGCCAUAUUUAUUCCAGUUUUACAAAUCAAUCCCGCA